UACAGAGGUGGCAAGCGUUGUUCGGAAUUACUGGGCGUAAAGGGCGCGUAGGCGGCCUUCUAAGUCAGACGUGCAAUCCCCCGGCUUAACCUGGGAACUGCGUCUGAUACUGGGAGGCUUGAGUAUGGGAGAGGGAUGUAGAAUUCCAGGUGUAGCGGUGAAAUGCGUAGAUAUCUGGAGGAAUACCGGUGGCGAAGGCGGCAUCCUGGACCAUAACUGACGCUGAGGCGCGAAAGCUAGGGGAGCAAACGGG
rnacentral:rRNA from 1 species